AUUGAACGCUGGCGGUAUGCUUUACACAUGCAAGUCGAACGGUAGAGGGGGCAACCCCUUGAGAGUGGCGAACGGGUGAGUAAUGCAUCGGAACGUGCCCAGUCGUGGGGGAUAACGCAGCGAAAGCUGUGCUAAUACCGCAUACGGUCUAUGGAUGAAAGCGGGGGACCGUAAGGCCUCGCGCGAUUGGAGCGGCCGAUGUCAGAUUAGGUAGUUGGUGGGGGAAAGGCUCACCAAGCCAACGAUCUGUAGCUGGUCUGAGAGGACGACCAGCCACACUGGGACUGAGACACGGCCCAGACGCCUACGGGAGGCAGCAGUGGGGAAUUUUGGACAAUGGGCGCAAGCCUGAUCCAGCAAUGCCGCGUGCAGGAAGAAGGCCUUCGGGUUGUAAACUGCCUUUGUACGGAACGAAACGGCGAGCUCUAAUACAGUUUGCUAAUGACGGUACCGUAAGAAUAAGCACCGGCUAACUACGUGCCAGCCGCCGCCGUAA
rnacentral:rRNA from 1 species